rnacentral:tRNA from 1 species
CCAGAAAAUAGUUUAGUUUAGAAUUCUGGCUUUGGGAGCCAGGGGCGAGAGUUAAAGUCUCUUUUUUCUGGG